UAGAUUGACCUGCACCCCACUCGCGAAGAUGAAUUGGUCUACCAAUUCUGAUAAAGUUUUCCCUAUUAACCACCAGUCAAAAGUAAACAUUUAGGAGGAUGUCACUCCGCUGCAUCACACUCGGGAAUAUAUGCUGUAAAGAUCACUGGUGAGAAUGGAAGGUGAUUUGGAUCAUAAAUGCACCAUUUGUUUACUGUGAAAUCAAAUCUUACCCAUCAUAUGAAGCUACAUGAUGAACACGAGAACUGAAGAAUGAUGUUUUAUUGUCCCCACAUGAAGUGGUAAAAGCUGCUCCUGGAGUUUGUCUACUAAUUUCCUGCUGUGAAAAUUGAUCUUGAUAACCACUUGAAAGUAAGACAUGAAUAAUGCCAAUAAGAACAACCCUUCAGUAAUUGAUAGUCAACACUAUUUCUCAGCAUCCGUGAAGCACAAAGAGAAACAAGAACCACUGACAGACCUGGACCCAGAUUACAUUGAAGAUGCUGAACUGUUGGCUGUUGCAGGUAUGUUGGAAGCUCUUAUGUGUUUGUGUACUUGCAUUUAUUAAUGCAGAUAGUUAGUGAAGGGAAAAAAUACUCUAACUUUAAAUAUUAAAUGCAUUUUCACACCUCCAGUAGAAAA